CUGGGGAGACUGUGGCCAAACAUGUGUAUUUGCUGGUCCACUAAUGCUAUUUAUUUAUUUAUUUUUUUUGCUUGUAAAGUCCCCAAGAGUCUGCUAACUUUUUUUUUGUUAAAUCUGAAAAAACAUAAUUUCCAAUGAAUAGUAAAACUAACUUAUGUACAAAGUUUUAAGUUUUAUUUUCAUAGAAUAAAUUAAUAGACUAAUUAUAAUGUGUGUGUGUGUGUGUGUGUGUGUGUGUGUGUGAAAUAUACUGUUGAAAGUACUGAAAGUAACACUAAUCCGCUAAAUUUUUUAAUCCGCUAACAUUUUUUUUAGCUCACUAAUUAGUGGAUUAGCGAUUAGCGGACCUUCUUAGCGGAAUGCCCACCUCUGGUUGUGUUGCCUGUAACAUUUAAUUAACAAUAAUUUUAAGGCUUGAAAUAUAAUUGUUGGCAUGUCCAGAACCUUGUCCUCCUCCUAGCAGCUGGCCUGUCUGCUGACCCAGCAGCUGGUACAAAGGCGCCAAUCAAGGAGUCGCUGUGGUCCAUGUGGUCCAGGCUUUGGUUGUCAAUAAGAGCCAUGACGGAGCCAAGCUCUCCAGCUGCCACUUCUGUCAAGCCAUUUUGCCGUCAUUAACGUUUACGGCCACCAUCAAAAUGGGAUAGUGGGCACCCGGCCUUAGUCAAGUCAGGUUGGGUUGGGAUAGAUUGUUUGGUUAGAUUAAAUUCUUGACAGGUUGGGAUAGGCUGGAUAGCAAUAUGAUAGGCUUCAGGAAUAGUUAGGUUAGUUAGUUACAUCAAAUCAGGAUUUUUGUUCCCCUCCCCCCUCUCUAAUCAGCCAAUUAAUCAUUGGGGUGCAUACGCUGGGGGUGCGUCGCCUUGCCCACCCCAGGGCUUUUCCCCCUGCAAGCCCCCUUCCUCCCCACCUCAAGCACCUCACGGCAUGGACUCUGUGGGCAUCCCCUCGGCCUCCUCUUCCUUUCCCCUUCUGAAAAUAAGUGAUUUCUGCGAAACAAAUAUUACAGAAUAAAGAAAUAAUAAUAAUAAAGAAUCCUUAUAAUACUUAGCAAACCCAACACUAGGGUAAGGUGAUGUACUCUCCGGUGCUAAAUCUCCCACUGAUAUACUAAUUGGACUUUGCCACACAGAUGCUGGACUUUGUGGACCCUGGCGGCCAUGAGGAGGUGUCCAUGGGCGCUGGGCAAGGCCGAGGGCGAGGAGUACAGCACACUGGAUGAGGGGGACCAUGGAUGGUGCAGGGCUCUCAGGAGAUGGACAAGCAGGAACAGGGGACCAGAACUCACAGGUGUUCUUCAUUGAGUGUGUGAGUGCCGCUGUCGUCACCAUGAACACCUGCUCGGAGGCACCAAGACUUGUCAAGCCGUCAAGCCAGUCAGUGAACCCAGUCUGCAAGACAUCUUGGUCAAGAUGGGACACAACCUAACACGCAAACCCUUCAAGCUGGAGAACCAAGACUGGGUGGGUGUGUGGUGACCCAGGGCAUUGAGGGAAGCUAGACGCUCUCCUAUAGGGCUUCAGGCAGAUACAACUUCCUCAUCACCUGCUUCACUCCAGCCCAGACUUUGCCACAGCUUCAGCUUAAGGCAGAAGAAGAAGAAGAAGAAGAAGAAGAAGAAGAAAACACACAGAGAGAGAAGAGGAGGAAGAAGAAGAGGAAGGACUUGUAAUAUGGCAGACAUCAAACCAAUGGAUGUGUGAAGAAGAAAAAGAAGAGGAAGAAGAAGAAGAAGAAGAAGAAGACUCUGCUCACAAGUAAGAAAUUCUGUGUCCCCGCUGUACCUCAUUGGAGAAGAAUCGAGCGGUUGAGUGGACUCCAUCUCUUGAGGGGCGGCUUCGUAUCCCAGCGUGAUCUCCUGCAAGGCAUCCCAGCACACACCACAUGCUCUGGAGGGGGAGAGAAAGUCAAGAUGAAUUGGCCUUGUCUUGGAGGAAAUGUGCUCUGUUUUGAUUUUGCUCUCAAACAUAGACCCUAAGAUUUUUUAAAUUAUAAAACACCUGAACAGUUUGCAGUCUUUCUCCGGAGAGGCUUUGAAGUAUAAUUGACUUAGGGACAAAUCUAAGGUUAAAAUUUCCAAUUUUUUGCUUAUUUCUGGCCAAAAGAGGCAUAUUUCAAAUGAAUUUCUGGAAUAUUCAAGCUAUGUAACAGAAAAUAUAUUAAGCAUAUAAAACAAUUAAUAUAACUAAAUAAAGACAGGGCAACAUUA